rnacentral:snoRNA from 1 species
AAGACUAUACUUUCAAGGAUCAUUUCUAUAGUCUGUAAAUACAGCCAUGUCUAUAGCCACAUUAUUCACAAUAGCCAAAAUGUGGAAGCAGCC